rnacentral:rRNA from 1 species
GGCGGCGUGCCUAAUACAUGCAGGUCGAACGGUCUUUCUAUGGAAGCUUGCUUCCACUGAGAAGAUAGUGGCGGACGGGUGAGUAACACGUGGGUAACCUGCCCAUAAGAGGGGGAUAACAUCCGGAAACGGGUGCUAAUACCGCAUAGUUUUCUUGAUCGCAUGAUUGAGAAAGGAAAGACGGCCUUUGUGCUGUCGCUUAUGGAUGGACCCGCGGCGUAUUAGUUAGUUGGUGAGGUAAUGGCUCACCAAGACGAUGAUACGUAGCCGACCUGAGAGGGUGAUCGGCCACAUUGGGACUGAGACACGGCCCAAACUCCUACGGGAGGCAGCAGUAGGGAAUCUUCCGCAAUGGACGAAAGUCUGACGGAGCAACGCCGCGUGAGUGAAGAAAGGUUUUCGGAUCGUAAAACUCUGUUGUCAGAGAAGAACAAGUUGGAGAGUAACUGCUCCAGCCUUGACGGUAUCUGACCAGAAAGCCACGGCUAACUACGUGCCAGCCGCCGC